CACAUUAAGUUCGUCUUAUGUGACAACAUUAUAAAUUCGUCUUGAAAAGAAAUGUCUGACUCAUUCCAACGAUUGGUGCACCCGUUUUAGUGAUAACAUUUAACUGUUUUAUGACAAAGUAAUUUCGUCACAUUCAUUUUUUAUUGUGACAACAUUACUUUUGUCACAAAACCAAAUAAUUUAUAAUUAAAUAUAAAUUUAAUUAUAAAUCUUAUACAAUUAAAUCUUUUGUCAUUUAGCAAUUCAAUCUAUUAUUUUGCAUCCGUCUCUUGUUAUUUUUCUCUCACCAUUUUCCUUCCACUCCCUCUCUCGUUUCGUUUGUCGCCUCCGCCACCACCGCCAGCGUUUCGCCUGUCGCCUCCGCCACCACCGCCAGCCUUCCGCCGCCUCCGCCACCACUAGCCUCUCAAUCGAUUCAAGUUAGAUGAACCGAGGAUUAAAAAGCGCAAAAGCAAGGAAGAUGACGAAAAACACAAAUCUAACAAAAAUUUCCAAGCGCCAAUAAGAAAGGUAUUUUCCAAUACCUGAAUUCCAUUUAAAUUGGGGUUAAUAUGAUAUUUGUUAAAACCUUGGCAUGCAAAAAAGACCUCUUCAGCUAAAUAAUGGUAAAUGAACCAACGGUACGAAGCUAAAGAAGAAACAACAGAGGGGGUAGGCUAAAGAAGAAAGAACAGAGGGGGUAGGCGAAAUGUUAACCGUUAAUACACGCGCCUGUUUCUCUUAUUCAAAUUCCAAGGUAAUGAUUUUUCAUUUGCAGUCUGUUUAAUUUCGAUUUGGUUUUCUUCUUUGAUGUCGAUAAUUUGAUAGAGAUUGGGCAAUUUCUAUCCCUAAUUUCUCUCUUAAGAUGGGAUUCACUACACACCAGCUUCUGCAAAGGUACUCUCUUUCAGACUUUGAAUGUAAGAAAAUUGAUUGUUGUCUGUUAGAUGAGUCGAGUCGAAAUCGAUGUAAAUAUCGAGUCGUUUUUUCCGUAACUAAUGUUGAUUGUUAACUUCAACUGUGAAAAUAUGUGAUAUCUCCGCAUAGAUUAGUUACCGAUGCUUUCUCUAAUGCUGGAGUACUGCAAAUGCAGGUGUAUGGGUUGUCGUCGUAUCAGGUGUCGAUGGCGUCGAAGUUUCUUCUUCUUCUUUGGUUGAAGAGUUCAGUUUUACAGCCACAUCUUCUGACAAAGACGACGAACUAAAGAUCACUGUAGAGGUUUCUGGAACA